GGAGGCAGCAGUGGGGAAUAUUGCACAAUGGGGGAAACCCUGAUGCAGCCAUGCCGCGUGUGUGAAGAAGGCCUUCGGGUUGUAAAGCACUUUCAGUUGUGAGGAAAGGUUAGUAGUUAAUACCUGCUAGCUGUGACGUUAGCAACAGAAGAAGCACCGGCUAACUCCGUGCCAGCAGCCGCGGUAAUACGGAGGGUGCAAGCGUUAAUCGGAAUUACUGGGCGUAAAGCGCACGCAGGUGGUCAAUUAAGCUAGAAGUGAAAGCCCUGCGCUCAACGUGGGAAGGCCUUUUAGAACUGGUUGACUAGAGUCUUGGAGAGGGGAGUGGAAUUUCUAGUGUAGCGGUGAAAUGCGUAGAUAUUAGAAGGAACAUCAGUGGCGAAGGCGACUCUCUGGCCAAAGACUGACACUCAUGUGCGAAAGUGUGGGUAGCGAACAGGAUUAGAUACCCUGGUAGUCCACACCGUAAACGCUGUCUACUAGCUGUUUGUGGAUUUAAUCCGUGAGUAGCGAAGCUAACGCGAUAAGUANACCGCCUGGGGAGUACGGCCGCAAGGUUAAAACUCAAA
rnacentral:rRNA from 1 species